AAACUGCCUCCUAAGUUUUGCAACUGUAGCAGUUUUGACCCUCAAGGCAAGAAAAAUAUAAAAAAUAAUACGUGACACCUCACUUAGGGUGUCACGUCAGCGUAGACCAAGUCAAAAUUGAUCUUGGAGGCCAAAAAUGCCACAGGUGCAAAACUUAGGGGGCGGUUU
rnacentral:pre_miRNA from 1 species